CUACGGGAGGCAGCAGUAAGGGAUAUUGCGACAAUGGGCGAAAGCCUGACGCAGCAACGCCGCGUGCGGGAUGACGGCCUUCGGGUUGUAAACCGCUUUUCGGGGGGAAGAGGAAGGACGGUACCCCCGGAAUAAGUCUCGGCUAACUACGUGCCAGCAGCCGCGGUAAAACGUAGGAGGCGAGCGUUAUCCGGAUUUACUGGGUGUAAAGCGCGUGCAGGCGGUCUUGUAAGUCGUGCGUGAAAGCGCCCGGCUCAACCGGGCGAGGUCGUGCGAAACUGCGAGGCUAGAGGCAGGUAGAGGCGUGCAGAAUUCCGGGUGUAGUGGUGGAAUGCGUAGAUAUCCGGAGGAAUACCAGUGGCGAAGGCGGCGCGCUGGGCCUGACCUGACGCUAAGACGCGAAAGCAUGGGUAGCGAACGGGAUUAGAUACCCCGGUAGUCC
rnacentral:rRNA from 1 species